CAUCCUGGGGCUGUAGUAGGUCCCAAGGGUUGGGCUGUUCGCCCAUUAAAGUGGUACGCGAGCUGGGUUCAGAACGUCGUGAGACAGUUCGGUCCCUAUCCGUCGCAGGCGUAGGAAAUUUGAGAAGACCUGUCCUUAGUACGAGAGGACCGGGAUGGACGUACCUCUGGUGUACCAGUUGUCCUGCCAAGGGCAUGGCUGGGUAGCUAUGUACGGAAUGGAUAAGCGCUGAAAGCAUCUAAGCGCGAAGCCAACUUCAAGAUAAGAUUUCCCACCGCAAGGGUAAGACCCCAGAAAGACUAUCUGGUUGAUAGGUCGAAGGUGUAAGUGCAGCAAUGUAUUUAGCUUAUCGAUACUAAUAGGUCGAGGACUUGACCAAU
rnacentral:rRNA from 1 species